rnacentral:rRNA from 1 species
UACGUAGGGUGCGAGCGUUGCCCGGAUUUAUUGGGCGUAAAGGGCGCGUAGGCGGCUCGGCACGUCCGUUGUGAAAUCGCCCGGCUCAACUGGGCGGGGUCAGCGGAUACGGUCGAGCUUGAGCAAGCUAGGGGGCAAUGGAAUUCCCGGUGUAGUGGUGGAAUGCGUAGAUAUCGGGAAGAACACCCGUGGCUAAGGCGGCUCUCUAGUACGGUACUGACGCUGAGACGCGAAAGCGUGGGGAGCGAACAGG